ACAGUUGUUUUAAUAUCUUUAUAAAUUUUGAAAAAAAAAAAUCAAAAUUUUUGCAAUUAUUGCAUCAGCUGAACAGAUUCUAAGCGUAAGCAGGUAAUUACUAAAACCCGAACUGAAAACUGGCCACUGAAAAAGGUACAGAUUAGCUCAAAACAUCCGUUUCUGUUGUUGUUGUUUUGAUGCUGUCCAGCACACAACCAAAUGAAAGAACAAGAUUUCAGUGCAUUAGUCAAUCUUCACAUGGAAGAUCUCCUAGGCUAUCUGCCACCAGCUGGCUACUUCAUUGCUGAGCAGAACUGAAGACUGAAAUUAUCUUUUUACUGAAACUACUUUUCACAAAUGAUUAUAUGUAUUAUUAUAUGUAUUCAUCAUAUAUGAAAUAGAUGCGAUUUGAACUGACUCUAGCUUGGGUGCAAAGGAUAAAUCUAUUUUAAUAAUCACAUUCUGUCAGUGAAACAUUAAACCAUAUAUAAAUGAUACCAAGUUAAGCAUUUUAUCACCUCAUAAGAGAUUGCACAGAAAGAAAAUGAAAGUUCCAAGUUCCUUGGAGGUUUUUAAAACCUGGCUGGACAAAGCUCUAGGCCACCUGGUUUGACUUCAGCACUGAGCAGCCCUGAGCAGGAGGUUGAUAAAGCUCCAACAAGAACAAAUCUGUGAUCCAUGGUUGCCAUGCAUAAAGCUUUAAUCACAAGCUUUUUUGUUGCAGUGAACCACUUUUAUUUCAGUGUUUGAAAUCUUUGCAGAUUAAUACAAUGUUUUAAAAGCUGUUCAUAAUAGAAAUAUACAAUUCUAAGAACAUUUUCUUAAUACACUUGCAGUAGUACAUAGUUCCCUAGAAACAAGGGAGUCUUUGCCCCAAAGUGCUACACUGCUACAGAAAGCAGCCAUCACAUUGCACAACCACAGUAUAAUUACAACAGAAUUGUUAGACAUUCACUAAAAACAUUUACUAAAAAA